GUGGUUUAAUUCGAUGCAACGCGAAGAACCUUACCUGGUCUUGACAUCCACGGAAGUUUUCAGAGAUGAGAAUGUGCCUUCGGGAACCGUGAGACAGGUGCUGCAUGGCUGUCGUCAGCUCGUGUUGUGAAAUGUUGGGUUAAGUCCCGCAACGAGCGCAACCCUUAUCCUUUGUUGCCAGCGGUCCGGCCGGGAACUCAAAGGAGACUGCCAGUGAUAAACUGGAGGAAGGUGGGGAUGACGUCAAGUCAUCAUGGCCCUUACGACCAGGGCUACACACGUGCUACAAUGGCGCAUACAAAGAGAAGCGACCUCGCGAGAGCAAGCGGACCUCAUAAAGUGCGUCGUAGUCCGGAUUGGAGUCUGCAACUCGACUCCAUGAAGUCGGAAUCGCUAGUAAUCGUGGAUCAGAAUGCCACGGUGAAUACGUUCCCGGGCCUUGUACACACC
rnacentral:rRNA from 1 species